UACGUAGGGGGGCAAGCGUUGUCCGGAUUUAUUGGGCGUAAAGAGCGUGUAGGCGGUCAGGUAGGUCCGUUGUGAAAACUCGAGGCUCAACCUCGAGACGCCGAUGGAAACCAUCUGACUAGAGUCCGGAAGAGGAGAGUGGAAUUCCUGGUGUAGCGGUGAAAUGCGCAGAUAUCGGGAAGAACACCCGUGGCGAAGGCGGCUCUCUGGGACGGUACUGACGCUGAGACGCGAAAAGCGUGGGGGAGCAAACAGG
rnacentral:rRNA from 1 species